rnacentral:rRNA from 1 species
GACGAACGCUGGCGGCGUGCUUAACACAUGCAAGUCGAGCGAUCGGCCAGGGAGGGGUAACCCACCCUGGUACGGAGCGGCGAACGGGUGAGUAACACGUGGGCAACCUGCCCCAGACUCUGGAAUAACCCCCGGAAACGGGGGCUAAUGCCGGAUAUUCUCGGGACCCCUCAUGGGGAUUCGAGGAAAGGGUUACCGGUCUGUGCUGGGCCCGCGGCCUAUCAGCUAGUUGGUGGGGUAACGGCCUACCAAGGCGACGACGGGUAGCUGGCGUGAGAGCGCGGCCAGCCACACUGGGACUGAGACACGGCCCAGACUCCUACGGGAGGCAGCAGUGGGGAAUCUUGCCCAAUGGGCGAAAGCCUGAGGCAGCGACGCCGCGUGCGGGAAGAAGGCCCUCGGGUUGUAAACCGCUUUCGGGAGGGACGAAGCCACUCGGGUUAAUAGCCCAGAGGGUGACGGUACCUCCAGAAGAAGCCCCGGCUAACUACGUG